ACGUAGGGUGCGAGCGUUAAUCGGAAUUACUGGGCGUAAAGCGUGCGCAGGCGGUUGUGCAAGACAGAUGUGAAAUCCCCGGGCUCAACCUGGGAACUGCAUUUGUGACUGCACGACUGGAGUGCGGCAGAGGGGGAUGGAAUUCCGCGUGUAGCAGUGAAAUGCGUAGAGAUCCGGAGGAACACCAGAGGCGAAGGCGACACCCUGGGCCGUACCUGACGCUAAGACGCGACAGCACGGGGAGCGAACGG
rnacentral:rRNA from 1 species